rnacentral:rRNA from 1 species
UACGUAGGGACCGAGCGUUGUCCGGAUUCAUUGGGCGUAAAGAGCUCGUAGGCGGCCACUCAAGUCGAAUGUGAAACCUCGAGGCUUAACCUCGAGCCUGCAUUCGAUACUGGGCGGCUAGAGUCUGGUAGGGGGAUCUGGAAUUCCUGGUGUAGCGGUGGAAUGCGCAGAUAUCAGGAGGAACACCGGUGGCGAAGGCGGGAUCCUGGGCCAGUACUGACGCUGAGGAGCGAAAGCGUGGGGAGCGAACGGG